AACGCAGCUGGCGCUGUCCUCUGGCUGGCAGCAGAGAUGCCAUAGGGCACACCACAGAGGUGUCCCUGCUAAGGGACAGGCAGACCUCAGGAAGGCUACCGCCGGACUCGGUGUAUCCCACCCCUCAGACUUUCUUACCUUUUGAUGUAGCUCUUGCUGUACAGGAUCUGCUGAAGCAAGGUCACCAAGGCAAAGGCGCAGAUGAAGAUAAAGAGCAAAGUUCGAUUCCCCAACAAAUCUCUGUUGGCGGAGGGGUCUGCGUAGCGCAUCCUGGCGGCCCGGCGCCGCGGACGCACUGUGCGGGGCGGGGCAGCAAUCACGCGCGCUAUGCGGGGGCCCCGGGGGCCCUUAGGAGAACUGCGUGGUCAAGAGGGCAGAGGACUUGGCGGGGCAAAGUUUCCCGCGGGCGCAAUCCCGGAGGCGGCAGCAAAAGGACAGGGCCGGCCGCGUGGAGAUCCUCUGAGCCCCAGGCCUGCCCUCUCGUGCUGCGGCUUCUGGGAGCCGGUGUCCCGCAGCCGCGGAUCUGCCCGUGGAGGGGCGACGGCAGGUGCGGGGACCGGACCGCCCUCCCGCCGAGGUGACGACCAAUGGGGAUCCGGGCCGGCGAGGCUGGGCCGAGACUCAGCCCGACGCGCCGCCCACUCUGGGCUGGCUCGGGAUUCGGGGCGCCAGGCGCAUGGAGCUGACCGGGGAACAGCGCGUCUGGUCCCCGCGCCCGCAGCCCGGGAGUGCGAAGGUUGGCCUCCGAUGCUGCGGAGGCGAGGUGGGCGACGCAACCUCAGGACGCCGGGCCGUGGGGAGGGGGAGGGGCGUAGCGUAAAGAGCCAGGUUGGAAUCGGGGUUCGGAGGACGCAGACCGCAGAGGCAACCUCAUCGAGACGAGCAUUUGCAUGCGGUACGCAGGUCAUUGAGUCACCGCGGCAGCGUCCUCGUGCGCGGCUGGAGAAUCCUCCGUGAAAGCGGAGCAAGGUCAGCCGGGCAGACCUUCAAGGACGGCGCGCGCGGCCCCUGCAUGCUAAUGGACUGAGGGACUGUCCCUGGGGCCUUGACUUCCAACUCUGGCUGAGCAGAAAUUCAGGGUCUGCCGUCCCGUUCCCCCACCCCACCGUGCACUAUCCCUACCCCCGCCGCUACCCUCUCACCAUCCCAACAUCUGCAGCUCGCGGCCUUUUGUCAAUAACCCCAUUGUCACCCAGAUAGUAGGACUUUGUCUCAUCCUUUGGAGCUAUUCAUAGACAGUAGGUCAACAGCAGGCCGCCUUCGGGUACUACGGUUGCCCAAAGCUGUAAGAAGUCACUGGGUCCAGCAGUGAGCACUCUGUGCUUCAGUGUAAGCUGGGGAAACCGUCCCCAGAGAUGCAACGGGAAGCCGUGCUAUCACAGAGAUCCUUACCUGAAAAAUGCCACCCUUACAGGGUUCCUUACAGCCAUCCCGACCCUGCGUAGGCUUGGGAGUCCACUACUAAGCGAUCCACUACUAAGGCGCCGUUCCCAGAAUAUGCUAGAACACUCCAGAGGUUCCAGAGUCAGGGCUGCUUUACACCGAACUUGACAAAACUUGAAUCACAGCAAGAAACGCAGCAAAGGUUUAAAAGUUAACAUUUUUGGCCCAUAGCUGGCCCUCUGUAUGCAUAACCAGGGCGAGGUGCAUUCAAGAAUGUCAGGUUGUGGGAGUUGGUGACUGGGAGGCAAUGAGUGGGCAGUGAGUGCGAUGUAAAGUGAAUAAGUAAAAAGUAAAUUUAAAAAAAAAAAAGGCGAGAGAUAGCCAUCUCUUCAGGCACAUUCCUGGGGUCAAUUCCGCAGGAUGGAAACACUCAGAGAAUCUGGUUACAGUUUAGUUCUAGGAACCUAAAUUGACUUUCAGAUCUGUCGCUAUUCAACCAUAUGGAAGAGCUUUAUAAAACGGGGUGGCUGACCCAGGCUAACCCCUUCCUCCGGUACUGUCACCUUGUUUCCUUUCAUUCUCCCUCACCAGCGGGUACCAUUCUGAGAACUGUCUUUGGAUGUAAGCUUCCCUGGAGAAAUGAACAAACCGUAUUACAGUAAUGAAUCCAAGUUAUUUCAUGAGACUUUUAAUUAAAGUGUAGUACAUUUAC
rnacentral:lncRNA from 1 species